AAAGUACUCCCUCCAUACGAAAAUUCUGAUCUUAGAUUUUUCUAGAUACGGAUGUAUCAAGUCAUAUUUUAGUAUUAGAUACAUCCGUAUCUAGACAAAUCUAAGACAAGAAUUUGGGACAAAGGGAGUAGUUG
rfam:Triticum urartu cultivar G1812 contig498169, whole genome shotgun sequence.